rnacentral:rRNA from 1 species
UGGGGAAUCUUGCGCAAUGGGCGAAAGCCUGACGCAGCAACGCCGCGUGCGGGAUGAAGGCCUUCGGGUUGUAAACCGCUUUCAGCAGGGAAGAAACUGACGGUACCUGCAGAAGAAGCCCCGGCCAACUACGUGC